GGUCUGACCUGCCCAAUGAGGAUUUAAAUGGCCGCAGUAUUUUGACUGUGCAAAGGUAGCAUAAUUAUUAGUCUUUUAAUUAAAAGCUUGUAUGAAGGGUUGGACGAAAUAAAAUCUGUCUUUAUUUAAAUUAAAAUAAAAUUUAACUUUUAAGUCAAAAGGCUUAAAUAAUUAUAAAAGACGAGAAGACCCUAAAGAUCUUUAUUUAAUUAUAAUUUUAAUAAUUUAGGUUUAAUUUAGUUUAAAAUUUUAAUUAAAUUUUAUUGGGGUAAUAUAAAGAUUAAAUAAAUUCUUUUUAUUAAUAACAUUAAUUUAUGAAUAUAUGAUCCAAUAUUAUUGAUUAUAAGAUUAAGUUACCUUAGGGAUAACAGCGUAAUUUUUUUGGAGAGCUCAUAUCGAUAAAAAAGUUUGCGACCUCGAUGUUGGAUUAAAAAUUAGCUUGGGUGUAGAAGUUCAAGAUUUUGGUCUGUUCGACCA
rnacentral:rRNA from 1 species